UCACUCCACUCCCAGCGGUACGUCGCAUCAUGAAUGUGUUGGGAUAAAAGGCUUCAACUGGGGAUUUAAACUGAUGUCUACUGUCUAGACGAGUACACAGGGAGCGAUGAAUUAAAUGCAUAGCUAUAUAUAGUCGACCGCUAUUCUUGGACUCUGUACUUGUAGCGUAUUGCUGGAUUUUGUUUUGUAAUAUUUUCUGUUCAUAGACAAUCAUGAAGCUAGCGUAGACUGUUAGCUGCGAGAAUUCAGAAGCCAAAUCCUACAAGAGUCACACCCUAAUAUUCAAUAUCCUCGCGCCGGCCACGCGACUGCGGGUACAGAUGCCCGACCCGGGAGUUCGGGAGUAUAGCUAGAUAAUUUCUUAUAACGAUAUUGUUUUUAUUUGUGCGAAACAACUCAGAAGGGAGGUCAUGUAUGUCCGGUUUCAGUCUACUUUGUUGGGAGACAGAUAACGUUAGUCGGCUAGCUAGUGUGUGUGAUAGUCAGCAGAAGACAGGAAUAUGAGUUCACCAAUGUACACGUUUGUUUUGAGAGAUGACAACAGUACUGUGUAUGCUGAGGUCGCCAGGAUCCUCAGCUCCACUGGAAAAUGGAAACGACUGAAGAAGGACAAUCCUCGGUUUAAUUUAAUGCUGGGAGAGAGAAAUCGGCUGCCUUUUGGACGACUGGGUCAUGAACCAGGACUGAUGCAGCUGGUGAAUUAUUUCAGAGGAGCCGAUAAACUCUGUCGCAAAGCAUCACUGGUCAAGAUUAUCAAGACCAGUCCAGAGUUAAAGGACUCCUGUAACUGGUUCCCUGAGUCUUACAUCAUAUACCCAACCAACCUCAACACCCCAGUGGCCCCGGCCACCAAUGGCAUCAGCCACAUGAAGAGCAACCCAAAGACAGAUGAGCGAGAGGUCUUUUUAGCUUCAUAUAACUCCAGAAAAGAAAGCGGAGAGGGAACGGUGUGGAUCGCCAAAUCAUCGGCGGGUGCAAAAGGUGCAGGUAUAUUGAUAUCUCAUGAUGCAAACCAGUUGCUUGAGUUCAUCGAUAAUCAAGGCCAAGUGCAUGUCAUUCAGAAGUAUCUGGAAAAACCUCUGCUGCUGGAGCCGGGACAUCGCAAAUUUGAUAUAAGGAGUUGGGUGCUUGUAGACCAUCAGUACAAUAUCUACUUGUACCGUGAGGGUGUGUUGAGGACAUCUUCUGAGCCCUACAACAGCUCAGAUCUCCAGGAUAUGACCAGUCACCUGACGAAUCACUGCAUCCAGAAAGAGCAUUCGCAGAACUACGGCCGCUAUGAGGAGGGCAACGAGAUGUUCUUUGAUGAGUUCAGACAGUACCUGUUGACCACACACAAUCUUGCCAUGGAAACAUCUAUUUUACCUCAGAUCAAGCAUAUUAUCAGGAGCUGUCUCGCAUGCAUCGAGCCAGCCAUCAGCACAAAGCAUCUGUCCUACCAGAGCUUCCAGCUCUUUGGCUUUGACUUCAUGCUGGACGAGAGCUUCAAAGUCUGGCUAAUUGAGAUAAAUGGGGCGCCUGCUUGUGCACAGAAACUCUACACUGAGCUAUGUCAAGGCAUCGUGGAUGUGGCCAUCUCCACAGUGUUCUCUCUAAACGCAGAUGCGCUCUCAUCCUCGCCUCCGUUCUCCACUUCUCCAUCUCUUUCUUCCAACUCCUGCUCCUCACCCAAGAUCAGAGCGCCCCAUCAGUUCGGCCCAUUCAUCAAACUAUAAAUUGCUGUUGCAGGAUGCUGAUGUUGCCAUGCAAACCCCGUCCCUAUAGUCCUGCCCGAAAACAACAUCAACCAAUCUGAGAGGCUUAAGGGUCUACACCUGAUCUUGGGGUUGAACAUACAGGGGUUUCUGAAGGAUCUCUGUCUGAAGAGGACAGAAGGUACAUGGGGUCACCUCUGUAACUCUUACCGUUUCCAUCCAUCAUUUCUAAAGCAAACGCAGAAGAGUCCACAGAAAUACAGAGAGCAUGAGUUUCCAAAGUAAAGACUGGAAGAUAUGACUGAGUUCCUGUGAGCGGUGUGGUUCAUUAACAGCAGGCUCUGAGGGAUUGAUCUGUACACUGUCAUGAUGUAGAUCACACACAGGCAAGUUGAUGUGGAAGAAGAAAGCAGCAAUUUAGGGUUUGAAUGUGUGAUAUUCUGAUAUCAGUAUUUAUGUUGUUUGGCAGAAGAGGAAGGACGUGAAAAGGAGUUUAAACAGUAUUGCAUCUCUUUGAAUUUAAAAGGAAAAGUAUUGAAGGAAAGCCAUUUUUUUUAAACAUUGUGGUCAUCAAUCCUACUACUAAGAGCAGUUAUCUAAGUUUUAUUAUGCAUCUUUGCGGUGCUUGUCUUAUUUGUAGUGCGUCUUUUUACUUUUUUUUUGUUUUUUUUAAGAAAACUGAAGGCAGUUGUAUGUAGCCUGUAUGAGGGAAAACAUCAUUAGCCAAAGAUCAGUGUGAUGAAAUAUCUUCACAGCUGUUCAGAAUAUGACUGUCGAAUGAACAUCAUGGUUUAAGUUGUGAAAUGUGGGAAUGCUGUUGUAAUUGUUUUCCUCCUGUACCCGAGGAAAGAUCAAUGCAAUGUAUGUUAGUAUUAGUCUAGUUUGCUGUAUUUGUUACUGUUGUUUAGACCAUUUGAAAAUAACAAAAUAUACUUUUACUAUGUUGGAUAGGUAAAAGCCUGAAAAGUAUUUAAGUUGUUCAAAUAAAAGCAUCCAUCCUGUGCAAUAAA